GGCUACCAGGGAUGGGCAUCUGCAACAUCUCUGGGCAAACCAUUUCAGAGCCUCACCACCCUCACAGUAAAGAAUUUCUUCCUAAUAUCUAAUCUAAACCUGCUCUCUUUCAGUUU